UGGAAAUAGUACUAACAAAGAAAGCAAUACAACAGAAGGUGGUUGGGGAGUCACAACUGGAUCUGGAAAUGAAACAGUUGGGGAGUCACGGCUGGAUCUGGAAAUGAAACUGGUGGUAAAAGUUGGGGUGGAAAUAGUACUAACAAAGAAAGCAAUACAACAGAAGGUGGUUGGGGAGUCACAACUGGAUCUGGAAAUGAAACAGGUGGUAAAAGUUGGGGAGAAAAUAGUACUAACAAAGAGAGCAAUGCAGCAGUAGGUGGUUGGGGAGUCACGGCUGGAUCUGGAAAUGAAACUGGUGGUAAAAGUUGGGGUGGUAAUAGUACUAACAAUGAAAGCAAUACAACAGGAGGUGGUUGGGGAGUCAUGGCUGGAUCUGGAAAUGAAACUGGUGGUAAAAGUUGGGGUGGUACUAGUACUAACAAUGAAAGCAAUACAACAGGAGGUGGUUGGGGAGUCACGGCUGCAUCUGGAAAUGAAACUGGUGGUAAAAGUUGGGGUGGAAAUAGUACUAACAAAGAAAGCAAUACAACAGAAGGUGGUUGGGGAGUCACAAC
rnacentral:lncRNA from 1 species